rnacentral:rRNA from 1 species
UGGGGAAUUUUGGACAAUGGGGGCAACCCUGAUCCAGCCAUGCCGCGUGCGGGAAGAAGGCCUUCGGGUUGUAAACCGCUUUUGUUCGGGAAGAAAUCCUCUGGGCUAAUACCCCGGGGGGAUGACGGUACCGGAAGAAUAAGCACCGGCUAACUACGUGCCAGCAGCCGCGGUAAUACGUAGGGUGCGAGCGCUAAUCGGAAUUACUGGGCGUAAAGCGUGCGCAGGCGGUUGUGCAAGACAGAUGUGAAAUCCCCGGGCUUAACCUGGGAACUGCAUUUGUGACUGCACGGCUAGAGUGCGGCAGAGGGGAGUGGAAUUCCGCGUGUAGCAGUGAAAUGCGUAGAUAUGCGGAGGAACACCGAUGGCGAAGGCAGCUCCCUGGGCCUGCACUGACGCUCAUGCACGAAAGCGUGGGGAGCAAACAG